GAGAGGUAACGGCUCACCAAGGCAUCGACGGGUAGCUGGUCUGAGAGGAUGAUCAGCCACACUGGGACUGAGACACGGCCCAGACCCCUACGGGAGGCAGCAGUAAGGAAUCUUGCACAAUGGGCGAAAGCCUGAUGCAGCAACGCCGCGUGCGGGAAGACGGCCCUAGGGUUGUAAACCGCUUUCAGCAGGGAAGAAAAUGACGGUACCUGCAGAAGAAGGUGCGGCCAACUACGUGCCAGCAGCCGCGGUGACACGUAGGCACCAAGCGUUAUCCGGAUUUAUUGGGCGUAAAGAGCUCGUAGGCGGUUCGGUAAGUCGGGUGUGAAAACUCUGGGCUCAACCCAGAGAGGCCACUCGAUACUGCUGUGACUAGAGUGCGGUAGGGGAGCGGGGAAUUUCUGGUGUAGCGGUGAAAUGCGCAGAUAUCAGAAGGAACACCAGUGGCGAAGGCGCCGCUCUGGGCCGUAACUGACGCUGAGGAGCGAAAGCAUGGGUAGCAAACAGAAUUAGAUACCCUGGUAGUCCAUGCCGUAAACGUUGGGCACUAGGUGUGGGUCUCAACCAACGAGAUCCGCGCCGUCGCUAACGCAUUAAGUG
rnacentral:rRNA from 1 species